GACGAACGCUGGCGGCAUGCCUAACACAUGUAAGUCGAACGGAACUUGAUGAAUGAAGUUUUCGGAUGGAUUUUAGCAAGUUUAGUGGCGGACGGGUGAGUAACGCGUGAGCAACCUGCCUUUCAGAGGGGGACAACAGUUGGAAACGACUGCUAAUACCGCAUAAUGUAUCGGGAUCGCAUGAUCCUGAUACCAAAGAUUUUAUCGCUGAAAGAUGGGCUCGUGUACGAUUAGAUAGUUGGUGAGGUAACGGCUCACCAAGUCGACGAUCGUUAGCCGGACUGAGAGGUUGAACGGCCACAUUGGGACUGAGACACGGCCCAGACUCCUACGGGAGGCAGCAGUGAGGAAUAUUGGGCAAUGGGCGCAAGCCUGACCCAGCAAUGCCGCGUGAAGGAAGACGGUUUUCGGAUUGUAAACUUCUUUUAAGAGGGACGAUAAUGACGGUACCUCUUGAAUAAGCCACGGCUAACUACGUGCCAGCCGCCGCGGUAAGAC
rnacentral:rRNA from 1 species